CUUACUGAUGACCCACCGAUGUGUCCUUACCAGGGAAUCAGGUGCUAACGACCAGCUAGAGACUAGUUGGAGAGACACUCAGUGGUGUUUGGACACUCUUCUCAGGGCAGCCCUUGAAAUUCCAGGUCCAGUGUGAUGGA
rnacentral:lncRNA from 1 species